rnacentral:rRNA from 1 species
UACGUAGGGCGCAAGCGUUGUCCGGAAUUAUUGGGCGUAAAGCGCACGUAGGCGGACUCUUAAGUCGGUGGUGAAAUCCUGGAGCUCAACUCCAGAACUGCCUUCGAUACUGAGAGUCUUGAGUCCGGGAGAGGUGAGUGGAACUGCGAGUGUAGAGGUGAAAUUCGUAGAUAUUCGCAAGAACACCAGUGGCGAAGGCGGCUCACUGGUCCGGUACUGACGCUGAGGUGCGAAAGCGUGGGGAGCAAACAGGG